rnacentral:lncRNA from 1 species
GAUAACAAACAAAUAUAUAUAUAUAUAUAUAUAUAUAUAUAUAUUAUCUAAUGUACAGGAAGACGGAAGUUAGGGGUAAAAGCUGAAUUCUACGAGUAUGCAAUUCUUCAGCUUCUCGAAGGAAGAAGUAACGUCAUACUGUGUGACUUAUCUACAUUAUCACUUCAACUAAGCUGCGUAUUUCUACGAGCUCUCUCGGGUCACAGAUUAUCUAACUAUCCGAUACAUCCUCCUAAUGAAUUUAUGCUGAGAUUUUCUCGUUGACAAAACUCCACGUCGUAUUAACUAUUCAAUCCUCACGUCUUGGGUAAUCUCGGAGAUUUCGUUACAAGAGCCAAUUUGACAAAUCAUUUCUAUUUAACAGCUCUGCAGCAAUAUUCCUGAAAAAGCAAGAGAAUAAGGUAUCGGUAGCUUUUCACUAUAUGCGAACAAAGAUGCGCAAAGGCAUCUUCUGUUCGAUCCUGCAACUGGUGAUGAAUUCUAAGAAUUUGUACCUGUAACUUCUCCCAUUGGAUUCACCUUGACUGGUAAAAUUUUACCCGAAAAGUUUAACAGUGGGCGCGUAUGCUUUAACUUCAGAGCAGGAGUUUUUGGCAAUUUGAAUCACAUUACGUACCACAUUGAAAAGACAUCUCGUUGUCAAAAUCCUCUCAAUAAAAGAAAAGGUGCAGUUUCGAUGCCUACCGAGUAAGGCUUCGAGAUAUUAUUUACCUUACAAGCGAUUCUUUUAGUGAAAGUUCGGUAGCAGAACCGAACAUCUCGCCCUUCACCUCCCUCUGUUAGUAUCCAAACGCUGCACUACCAGACAGUUUGGACACUUGAUGCGAACUGAAGUCGUAAUUUUUUUUAAGAAUUGUAAUCCAAACCGUAAUUAAUCCAAAAGUCUCGAUGGAUCAAUGAGCACCAAUUCUUGAAAAAUAGCCUGUUACCCACUCGCUUCUUGUAGUUCUGCAUCUACUCGUCGGUAGAAUUUCAAAGCCUCAAAGGCAUUCGAUGUGCUCAUGUGACUCAGUAACUCUACAAGCAUAGGCUGGAUUGACACAAGAUUACAUUGUGUUGAAAUGAGAAUCCCAUAACUCCCGCGUAUCAACAGCUAAAAAAAGUUUCACUCCUAACUGUCGACACUAAUUCACUGAUACAACCUAAAGCCUAACAUGGAUCAAACCUAAUCACAUGAGCAACCUCGUAGCCAGACAUGAAAAGCAGCCGACAUGAAGAUGCAGUACUCCAAGAUGAGGGUGGGCAAAAAGGCAAUAAGUGUAGUCUUCUCAUUCUGCAAUGCUCGUAAUACAGAAUCCCAGUCCGGAGUUUCCACUGAUCCAAUACUUGUCAGAUUCGAUGGAGAUUCGCCGGAAGCGGACAGCUUAGUACCGGCAUUGUCCCUCCAGAAACACGUGAAAUCAACCUUGGGAAUCCGCGAAAAUAUAUGUGCAUAUAUAUAUGCAUAUGUAUGUAUUCGAAUGCAAGUGCAGGCCCAAACAGGCUUCUGCAGUGAGACGAUAAAUCCGACCUAAACAAGUCCUAACUAGACCCACUCAAUAAAUCCUAUCUCUACGAUUCUCAAGGAGACAACCAUUCCUCAUGCUCAAGUCAAUAUUCUUAGGCAGCCUACAUACAAUCGCAAUGGACCAGACAAAAAUUUCAGCGGUAGAUGAAAGAUUACUAAGAAUCCUCUGUUCCUAUUACUAGAACAAGUACGGUGAGAAAUGAAACUGUAACGAACUUACAACCAGGCAAACUUUGCUAGAAGUGAGAAACGUAGAGAACACAGUCCCACAGCGACUCACAUUCUCAAAGACGCAGCUGGCCUUGACUUGGAAUAUAAAACAAACGGAGGCGACUAGUGGGGAUGAUGACUCCAAAAUGGGGGGUGAAGCAGAAACACACUCCGCCCAGAGGGCGUGAGCAGCUGCGCGCCAAAAUACUGGGCAUGAGCGCCCAGG